UACAGAGGGUGCGAGCGUUGUUCGGAAUUAUUGGGCGUAAAGGGCGCGUAGGCGGUUCGGUAAGUCACCUGUGAAAUCUCCUGGCUCAACUCGGAGGUUGCAGGCGAAACUGCCGUGCUGGAGUGUGGGAGAGGUGCGUGGAAUUCCUGGUGUAGCGGUGAAAUGCGCAGAUAUCAGGAAGAACACCCGUGGCUAAGGCGGCUCGCUAGUACGGUACUGACGCUGAGACGCGAAAGCGUGGGGAGCGAACAGG
rnacentral:rRNA from 1 species